UACGGGGGGAGCAAGCGUUGUUCGGAUUUACUGGGCGUAAAGGGCGCGUAGGCGGCCACUGCAAGUCAGUUGUGAAAUCUCCGGGCUUAACCCGGAAAGGUCAACUGAUACUGCAGGGCUAGAGUGCAGAAGGGGCAACUGGAAUUCUCGGUGUAGCGGUGAAAUGCGUAGAUAUCGAGAGGAACACCUGCGGCGAAGGCGGGUUGCUGGGCUGACACUGACGCUGAUGUGCGAAAGCCAGGGGAGCGAGCGGG
rnacentral:rRNA from 1 species